AAGGAAACAAACUAAGGGAGAGAUAAUGGGAAGAUUCUGGGUUUGGGUGAAAGAAAGAAGGAGAAACAGAUGGACCAGAGGAAAGGAAGAGAAAGUGAGAAGGCGACUGGUCUGCUCAGUACAAGACAGAUCAGAGUCAAUCUGCCUGGUGUUACUCCUUUCUUUCCUCUUUUCCCUCUUGCCCAUCUGGAAACAUCCAAAAUCAGAAUUCUAGACUUAUACCCAUCUCAUGCAAGAUGAACCUGAAAAGGUUGAUUUUGAUUAACUUGAGGACGAUGAAACUACAAGUGAGGUGAAUGACAAAAAACUUUUGUGCGUAGAAUUGUGAAGAAAGAUUGGAUGGCCAAAUGCGUCAUGCUACAUUGCAAAAUGUGAGUUGAAGGUGACUUGGUCCGUCCCAAUACAAACAAGCAAAAAAUAAUGGAGAUCAAUACUAGGUACCAAGAAAAACUAUCAGCACUUAGAGCUCAACAUGCCAAUCGAAGAGAGGAAGUCCUCCUCAAGGAAUUACAAACUCGUUUACAUCAAUACCAGCAAGCUGGAAUCAGCUCUCAUCCAAAUUCUGGCUUGCAAGAUGCUCGUGGCUAUGGUGGCACAGCGGUUGCAGCUGCUGCUGGAGAAACUCGUGGUUAUACAACUGGUCAGUUUGACUCAUACAGAGACCAAUCUCGAUUUAAUGCUGGCCAAACGACGCAAGGAUCUGAGGCAAGGGUUCCAUACCCAGAAGGCCAUUUCAACCACACUAGUGCCCAGUAUUUCUAACCAGAGUUCAAACCUACUUUUGGUCGCAUCAUCAGCACACCGCCAUGCAAUUUUCGUCCCCUUCUCAAAGAUCCUUUUUCCGUCAAUCUUCUGUGCUUGUGUCCGUUGUCUGGUAAUAUCAUGAUCUAAUUGCCAUUGAAAACCCUGCAAAUUGCUGGUUCAAGCUUUGGUUGUAAAUAUGGAUGGUUGUUGCUUUGAAGCUCCAAUUUGUCCCAAGUACAACUUGCAACAGGUCAAUAGCAAAGCAAAGACGAUAAAAUGGAGAUUGUCUGAAAGUGAGGAGAUGUUGACUUCAAUCAGUUACUACUAGGCAUUCUUUUUCCUCCCUUCUAUACUAAAAUAAUUGGGUACAUGUCAACUUUCCUAAAAGGCUUUUAGUUGGGCUUAUUUUCCAGCACAUUUUUCCUUCUUCAUGUGGUUCUUGCAUCUUUUCUCACAUGAUGAUAGAUGGCUACAAAAGGUGAAGGAUACAAAGGCCCAUAGGAGAAUCAAGUCUUAACAGUAUCUCAUUCAGAGCAUGGCAUAGUUGUCAGGGUUAGACCUUGAGCUGUAACUGUUCCUAAAACCUUUUUCUUUUCUUAAUUUUUCUCGCAAUUAUGACCAUCAUAAGUGGUAAGAUAGGAGUGACUAGUUAAUA